UGGGGAAUAUUGCACAAUGGGCGCAAGCCUGAUGCAGCCAUGCCGCGUGUGUGAAGAAGGCCUUCGGGUUGUAAAGCACUUUCAGCGGGGAGGAAGGCGUUAAGGUUAAUAACCUUGGCGAUUGACGUUACCCGCAGAAGAAGCACCGGCUAACUCCGUGCCAGCAGCCGCGGUAAUACGGCGGGUGCAAGCGUUAAUCGGAAUUACUGGGCGUAAAGCGCACGCAGGCGGUCUGUCAAGUCGGAUGUGAAAUCCCCGGGCUCAACCUGGGAACUGCAUUCGAAACUGGCAGGCUAGAGUCGUGUAGAGGGGGGUAGAAUUCCAGGUGUAGCGGUGAAAUGCGUAGAGAUCUGGAGGAAUACCGGUGGCGAAGGCGGCCCCCCGGACAAAGACUGACGCUCAGGUGCGAAAGGGUGGGGAGCAAACGGG
rnacentral:rRNA from 1 species